rnacentral:rRNA from 1 species
AACGAACGCUGGCGGCAUGCCUAACACAUGCAAGUCGAACGAGACCUUCGGGUCUAGUGGCGCACGGGUGCGUAACGCGUGGGAAUCUGCCCUUGGGUUCGGAAUAACAGCGAGAAAUUGCUGCUAAUACCGGAUGAUGACGUAAGUCCAAAGAUUUAUCGCCCAAGGAUGAGCCCGCGUAGGAUUAGCUAGUUGGUGAGGUAAAGGCUCACCAAGGCGACGAUCCUUAGCUGGUCUGAGAGGAUGAUCAGCCACACUGGGACUGAGACACGGCCCAGACUCCUACGGGAGGCAGCAGUGGGGAAUAUUGGACAAUGGGCGAAAGCCUGAUCCAGCAAUGCCGCGUGAGUGAUGAAGGCCUUAGGGUUGUAAAGCUCUUUUACCCGGGAUGAUAAUGACAGUACCGGGAGAAUAAGCUCCGGCUAACUCCGUGCCAGCAGCCGCGUAA